rnacentral:rRNA from 1 species
GACGGAGGAUGCAAGUGUUAUCCGGAAUCACUGGGCGUAAAGCGUGUGUAGGUGGUUUAAUAAGUCAACUGUUAAAUCUUGAGGCUCAACCUCAAAAUCGCAGUCGAAACUAUUAGGCUAGAGUAUAGUAGGGGUAAAGGGAAUUUCCAGUGGAGCGGUGAAAUGCGUAGAGAUUGGAAAGAACACCGAUGGCGAAGGCACUUUACUGGGCUAUUACUAACACUCAGAGACGAAAGCUAGGGUAGCAAAUGGG